rnacentral:lncRNA from 1 species
UAGUUUGAUCUUCAUCCUAGGUAUUUAAAGCCUAAAAUCCCCAAAAAAUUUCCCCAUUUCCCCCUUAUUUCCUCUCUCUUCUUUCCCUCUCCUUCUUCUCUCUUCUCUCUCUCUCUUCACUCUCUCUACGUCGCCCAGUUCCGCCCACCGCCGCCCCCGGCGGACCACCUCCAAACACCUCCAAAUUCACACCACGUAAUCUCCACAACUUUCUCUUUCCAUAUCUCCAAACCAAAUCCUAAAAAAAAUCCCUCAAACUCUUUGAAUCUUAGAUCUAGAAAACUUUCCCGUCACUUUUUUGCCCAAAUUCUUGAAGCUCCAACCACUAUCACCCCAAAAUACCUACAUUAAUGGAUAGAUCUCCUCAAGACCUAGCUAUUGAUGUCAAUUCUACCCCAAAAAUCUGGCGACCAAAAUCCGGCCUAAUUCCGGCGACCUCCCGGAACACCCUCUUUGGCAUACCACCAUUUUUCGGCCUUUUGAUGUGUAAAAUGGUAAAAUACUAUUCUUUUUCAUGGCUGAUUUUUUAUUUUUAUUUUCAUUUUUAAUUUUUAGAUUUUAUUAUUGUCUAUUAUUAAUUAUUUUAGCAUUAGUUUUUGAAGUUUGAAAUGUUAAAUUUUCUGUUUUUGCACUUGUUGAAGUAGUAAAAUAGUUGUGUAUUGAUAAAAGUGAGGUAAUGAAAAACUUAAGAGUAUAUGGUACUUGUUUGGUUGUUUGUUUACUUCUUCAAGACUCUUUGAGUAUAACACUCAAAAGUCAAAUUGUUUGGUAAGAAAAUGUAGACCUUUGGACAUUAUUUGAAUAAAAUUUAUCUUUAAAUAGUGGAGAGCAGAUUUUGUUUGAAAUACUUGACAAGAUUUGAACUAGAAAGUCUUGCUUUUUGAAUUUAAGAGCAGAUUUUGUAGAAAAAUCUGUCAAAAAGAUUGAUUUUUAAUUUUUUGAAAUAGCUGGUUGUUUUGAUAUAUAGAGGGGACUCCAUCACACUUCCAGGGGCAUUUUUUAUAAUUGCUUUGUCACAAAAACAAAAAAUAAAUUCAGCAGUUGAGCACAUGAAAAGUAAGCUGAAAUGGUGAGCUUUGGGAGUGAAUCUUAGAGUGCAAACUUUUAAAAAAGUAUAAGUCCUCUUUAGAGUUCGUUUUUGGGUUCCCUCUCUAAGUUUUCGGGUUGUUUUAACACAGAUUUGCUGCUAGUUUUACCGCUGUUUUCAUGCUGCUUUAGUUGCGGAACUAUUGUUUAUUCUUUUGCUACCAGGUAAUCCUUUAAGACUCGUAAUGUACGUAUUUUCAGCAAUGGGAACAAUUUGAACAUGCUGCACCAAUUAAAUGUGUUUGAUGUGAUGAAUAGUUUGACAACAAAAGAGCUUGUAUGUUAUUGUUAUGUAUCAAGCAUGUGAUAAUGUGAAUAUAGUCCGUCAUAAUACUUGAAUAUUGAGUUGUAAGUUUUUGAAUGUGAUAUGUAAGUCGCUUAUGAAUUUUGUAUGCAUGUUUUCAAGCUAUUAUAUCCGAGUAACAAUGUUAAGUAUGCCAUGAAUGACUUUAGGUGUAUAACACAUAGCAUGAGUUCGUUUUAGUUGCUGAAAUUUCACUGCCAACAUAUGCUUCUAGGAAUGUUGUGAUAAUAUCUUUGUGAAUCUGGCCAUUUUGCCGGAUUUGCAAAAAUGGCUAUUUUUGUAAAGUGGGC